GUCACAUCCCAAAUGGAUGAAUUUAUCCCUGUAAUUCACCAUUGCAUUCCAAUCUCUUCUGGGUUUCUGACUCCCUCCCUAUCUAUUCCUGUUCAGGACUAGCCAAGCAACAUCCCGGUGAAGCACUGAGGCUCUCUGUGCUGGAUGAGGGGUGCGAGAGGAUCCCUGCUGUCUGCUGGAGGAGUGGCCAUCACAGAGUCAGGAGUACCUUGUAUCUUGAUUAGAAAACACUUUCUGCUCCUUCUUGGCCAGCACUUGACUUCCAUCCAUCUGCCUCCACAUCAGAAAUCCUCCUGACUUCUCAUCCUACUGAAAUUUGCAAACAUCAGUGUCUUCUGUGUGACCCCCUGUCCUCUCUAAGUCUGGUGGUAGUCUCUGGAGCUGCAGAAGGAGAGAAAAGAUCUUGAUGCCUCUUUUCUUUAUGGAGGCAAUACAGCGCACUGUGGAAACUGUGGUGGCUGGAGAUGUAAGACCAUGUCAUGACAGCAAAUGGGAUGCAGUCCUGAAGGUGUGACAGUAAGCAACAUUGUUGUGACUGCUACAGGACAGGUAAGAAAUGCACAUUUAGCACGAAUCUGGCCUCUCUAUGUUUGCAAGGCAAGAGUGAUGGGAGAGAAAGGGCCCACGAGGUCACGGCGUGUUUAUGAAAGCUCAAUUUCCUGGAAGCAUGGGACCUUAUGAGACUUUUGGUUUUCAUUUUUAAAAACACCGUGUUUCUAGCCCUUGUGACUGCAGGGAAAAGCUCAAAAACAUCAUCUCUGCGGGCUCAUGAGCCUCAAAAAGCACUGGGGAGUGAAAAAGAACCUUUCAUGUAUCAGGACUCUGAAGUCGGCUCCCCAGAUGCCUGGAGCCUG
rnacentral:lncRNA from 1 species